rnacentral:rRNA from 1 species
CACGUAGGGCGCAAGCGUUGUCCGGAAUCAUUGGGCGGAAAGAGCUCGUAGGCGGUCUGUUGCGUCCGCUGUGAAAACUCGGGGCUUAACCCCGAGCCUGCAGUGGAUACGGGCAGACUAGAGGUAGGUAGGGGAGAAUGGAAUUCCCGGUGUAGCGGUGAAAUGCGCAGAUAUCGGGAGGAACACCGGUGGCGAAGGCGGUUCUCUGGGCCUUACCUGACGCUGAGGAGCGAAAGCGUGGGGAGCGAACAGG